UCCCGGCGCAGAGAACGCCGGCUCCUCAGCGCGUUCUGCGGUCAUGGAGAUCCCCGGGAGCCUGUGCAAGAAAGUCAAGCUGAGCAAUAACGCGCAGAACUGGGAUCGCAACAAUGCAAGGCAAAUUCAUGAGGGUGCAAGUUUACCGUUUUUUGAAGUAUUUGUUGAUGCUCCUCUGCAUGUUUGUGAACAGAGAGAUGUCAAAGGACUCUACAAAAAAGCCCGGGCAGGAGAAAUUAAAGGUUUCACUGGGAUCGAUUCUGAAUAUGAAAAGCCAGAGGCCCCUGAGUUGGUGCUGAAAACAGACUCCUGUGAUGUAAAUGACUGUGUCCAGCAAGUUGUGGAACUUCUACAGGAACGGGAUAUUGUACCUGUGGAUGCAUCUUAUGAAGUAAAAGAACUAUAUGUGCCAGAAAAUAAACUUCAUUUGGCAAAAACAGAUGCGGAAACAUUACCAGCACUGAAAAUUAAUAAAGUGGAUAUGCAGUGGGUGCAGGUUUUGGCAGAAGGUUGGGCAACCCCAUUGAAUGGCUUUAUGAGAGAGAGGGAGUACUUGCAGUGCCUUCAUUUUGAUUGUCUUCUGGAUGGGGGUGUCAUUAACUUGUCAGUACCUAUAGUUCUGACUGCAACUCAUGAAGAUAAAGAGAGGCUGGAUGGCUGUACAGCAUUUGCUCUGAUGUAUGAGGGCCGCCGUGUGGCCAUUCUUCGCAAUCCAGAGUUUUUUGAGCACAGGAAAGAGGAGCGCUGUGCCAGACAGUGGGGAACAACAUGCAAGAACCACCCCUAUAUUAAGAUGGUUAUGGAACAGGGAGAUUGGCUGAUUGGAGGAGAUCUUCAAGUUUUGGAUCGAGUUUAUUGGAAUGAUGGUCUUGAUCAGUAUCGUCUUACUCCUGCUGAGCUAAAGCAGAAAUUUAAAGAUAUGAAUGC
rnacentral:sRNA from 1 species